rnacentral:rRNA from 1 species
UACGUAGGUGGCAAGCGUUGUCCGGAAUUAUUGGGCGUAAAGCGCGCGCAGGCGGUUUCUUAAGUCAGAGGUGAAAUCCCAAGGCUCAACCUUGGAACUGCCUUUGAUACUGGGGAUCUCGAGUCCGGGAGAGGUGAGUGGAACUGCGAGUGUAGAGGUGAAAUUCGUAGAUAUUCGCAAGAACACCAGUGGCGAAGGCGGCUCACUGGCCCGGUACUGACGCUGAGGUGCGAAAGCGUGGGGAGCAAACAGG